rnacentral:rRNA from 1 species
CCAGCCACCGCGGUCACACAAGAGACCCAAAUUAACCGUAUACGGCGUAAAGAGUGGCACUAUGAUAUCGCGACAACUAGGAUUAAAAUGCAACUAAGCUGUCAUAAGCCCAAGGUGUACUUAAGAUCGCCCUUAAGAUGAUCCUAGCACUUUUGAUUGAUUUAACCCCACGAAAGCUAGGGCACAAACUGGGAUUAGAUACCCCACUAUGCCUAGCCCUAAAUCUCGAUGCUUGCCGUACCAAAGCAUCCGCCCGAGAACUACGAGCACAAACGCUUAAAACUCUAAGGACUUGGCGGUGCCCCAAACCCACCUAGAGGAGCCUGUUCUAUAAUCGAUAACCCACGAUUCACCCGACCACCUCUCGCCAAAGCAGCCUACAUACCGCCGUCGCCAGCUCACCUUCCCUGAAAGCCCAAUAGUGAGCACAAUAGCCCAACCUGCUAGUAAGACAGGUCGAGGUAUAGCCUAUGAGGUGGGAGAAAUGGGCUACAUUUUCUACAAUAGAAAACCCACGGAAGGGGGCAUGAAACAGCCCCCGGAAGGCGGAUUUAGCAGUAAAGUGGGACAAUAAAGCCCCCUUUAAGUUGGCCCUGGGGCACGUACAUACCGCCCGUCACCCUCCUCACAAGCCACGAACAACCAUAACUAAUAAGCCUUAUGGCUAAAGAUGAGGUAAGUCGUAACAAGGUAAGUGUACCGGAAGGUGCACUUAGCAUAC